rnacentral:lncRNA from 1 species
UGGCCUUUGAAACAUUAACUAUUUACUUAAAUUUAGGAAAAGUUACCAAAAACUUUCAGCAAAUAAAAUUGAAUCUACUUCAGAGAACAGUGAUACUGGCUGAAAACCAUAGUUUACAUUCCAUCUUCAAAGUGAGAUAAUGCAGGAAUGCCAAAAAUUCAGCAAAGCCUUCUCAAGUAACAAUCUUGUCCUUAAGAAAUCAUUGGGAUUUUGAGCUGUGGAAUUUUCCACCCAUUUAUCCUCUCAUUAUCUAUAUUUUUUGCCUCAAGUGUCAGUUGAAUCCUCUCACUCACAGUUGUACAAAUCACAGGACUUUUUUUCAAUUGUCAUAAAAUAGAUACAUUAUUCAUCUACCCAGUUUCAUCUGAAGGGAAUCCAAUAAAGAAGAAAUUUUAUUUUCCAAUAAAAUAUUAAAGCUGCUUUACCCCACAAGAGACAGAGCAGAAAUUCCAUCCAUGAUCUAUCAUUUCUGAGCAAUUACAUUAGGAAGUGGCUGUUUACCCUGGCAGCUGGGCUCCAUAUCUCCACCACUGGAAAGACAAUUCCCCGUGCCACAAAUACCCAGAGAGCUGACUCAUUACAUAAAAAGGAAGUUCUGUUUGAUUCAAGAAGGAUUGGGAAGAUGGAAAUCAACCCUUAGAUCAUCAGAGCAGGUGGAAAGGAAUCAGGAAUAUCUUCAUAAGCACCAAAUCCAAUAAAUGCUUUUUAAUUGAAUCAAACAGUUUGGAGUUGUUUAAAUAAUUUCAUUUCUUUUAAUGUUUCACUGUUAAAUACUGACUGAACAAAGUGCAGCUGCUGCUCCUCAAGAUGAAAUAGAUUUCUCCUACCCUUUGAAUUCAGCCAACUUUCUCUCAGUGUAUUUUUAGACUGCACAGGAAAUACUAAAGACUAAGGAAGCUGGAAUGUGACUGACCUUUUACCUGUAAUGAUACCAGCAACACCAACAUUCGCCACCAGUGACGUGGGGACAGAGCUAAUGGGAACUCUGCUAGGGAACUGAACGGCUUCUUUUCAUUGAGUUGAUAUCUAUCCCUGUAGUUUUGCAAUGUUCUAUAAUUACUUCAGACAUCACUGAUUUUAAAACAGGUUAUGCCACACUUUAUAAUCUAUUCCACUUAAAAUAAACCAUAAGAAU